UUGUGCUAAGCGGGAAGCUAGCGGUGUCCUGUAACCCGAAAUCCGCUUUAUGCGGGGCUGAAUCCCCUUUUGAGGGUCAAAACUCUCCCGGCCAUGUAGGUUGUCCCAGGUUGAGCCCCAUGCAACAAACACUUACGAACCCCGUCAGGUCCGGAAGGAAGCAGCGGUAAGUAAUGUGUCUUGUGUCAUGGCGUAAUCUCAACCUACUAGUGGCAACUUUUGGCUGAUGGAGAAUGGCUCGAUAAAGGGUGCACAA
rnacentral:SRP_RNA from 1 species